GCCCCCUCCCCAAAUAUCGGGGGGUGGGGUCCCCGUGUGCCUUCAGCGCAGGGUGGGGACAGCGGUGGGGGCUUGGGGACACCCCCCACUGCCCGGGCAGCGCUUGGGGACCCCUCCCCAGGGUUUGGGGGCUCCUGGGGACCCCUCCCCAGGGUUUGGGGGCUGCUUGGGGACCCCUCCCCAGGUUUUGGGGGCUCCUGGGGAUGUCUCCCGGUGUUUGGGGACCCCUCCCCAGUGCCCAGGACCCCCUUGGGGACCCCCCCAUGCCCCCCAGGGGGGUCUCAGCACAGCUCAGGGGCCCAGAGCAGGGUGGGGGGCACUUUGGGGUGUCCCCCAGUCACUUUGGGGUGUCCCCCCGGGCACUUUGGGGUGUCUCCCCGGCAUUUUGGGGUGUCCCCCAUCACUUUGGGGUGUCCCCCCGGCAUUUUGGGGUGUCCCCGGUCGUUUUGGGGUGUCCCCCCGGCUCUUUGGGGUGUCCCCCGGGCAUUUUGGGGUGUCCCCUCAGGUCACUUUGGGGUGUCCCCGGUCACUUUGGGGUGUCCCCCCAUCACUUUGGGGUGUCCCCCCGGCUCUUUGGGGUGUCCCCGGUCGUUUUGGGGUGUCCCCCGGGCAUUUUGGGGUGUCCCCCCGAGCCCAAAGCUUUCCUAUCAUUUUCUAAUUAAAGCCUUUGCCAUUCCAGCCUCGCCGCUCCUUUGGGUUUUGGGGGGUCCGGCAGAAGCUCAUUUAUUGUGGAGCCCCAGCGCGGGGUCUGGGGGUCCCGGGGGGUCCCGGGGGUGUCCCAGGGGGUCCCGGGGGUCCCGGGGGUCACCAGCAGAGCUGCCCCGGGCAGUAUUUAUCGAUGAGGCCCUGGUAGUAACCUCGGAGUUGCUGCACAUCGGGCAGCUCCUCCUGCUUGGUGUACAGGUCAAACUUGCUGCGGGGACAAACAGGGGGGGGUCAGGGCACCCCAAAACCU
rnacentral:lncRNA from 1 species